rnacentral:rRNA from 1 species
UACGUAGGGACCAAGCGUUGUUCGGAUUUACUGGGCGUAAAGGGCGCGUAGGCGGCUUGACAAGUCACUUGUGAAAUCUCCGGGCUUAACUCGGAACGGCCAAGUGAAACUGUCAUGCUAGAGUGCAGAAGGGGCAAUUGGAAUUCUUGGUGUAGCGGUGAAAUGCGUAGAUAUCAGGAGGAACACCUGCGGUGUAGACGGCUUACUGGACCAUAACUGACGCUGAGGCACGAAAGCGUGGGUAGCAAACAGG